AGAACGACGCUUCCGGCGAGUUCUUGGAGGAACACGAGCCGCGGAGGCCGAGCUUCUUCGAGUUCCUCACGUUCUUUGCUUCGCAAACUCCCGUGGCGGUUCCGGCGAGUUCUUGGAAGCACAAGCCGCGGAUCCGACUCUCGUCUCCUCCCGCUACGGUUUCAUCCAAGAACGGCUCUCCGGCGAGUUCUUGAACCGGGAACCGCAGAGCCCGAGCUUCUUCUAAUUCUUCGCGUCCGAGAGGGCUCGAUCUCCUCCAGCUAGGGCCCAAGGACGGGCUUCAGGGGUUAUCCUUGAAGAGAACGAGCCAUGGAGCCCGUGCUUCUUCGAAUUCGUCACGUCUUCUUGAAUUCCUUCGCUUCGGACGCCCUUCUCUCAUUCCGAACAUGGUUUCGUCCAACAACGGGCGAUUCGGGCGAGUUCUUGGAAGAGAGCGAGCCACCGGCCUCGAGCUUCUUGGAGAUCCUCUCGUCUGAGAGGGCGAAGGUCUCCACGCUGGGGUCAGCCUUGGCCCUCUGACAUUCCGAUCGAAUGCCUUCCGCGGCCCAUGGGUGGAUCGAGUCCUUCGCCAGCAUGGUCUAGUUGCAGUGGAGUUCCAUUUAAUGAUGGCAAGCUAGCUUGACGUAUCCAUACAAUGUCUUAGCCAGGAAGAAGGGUUAUUGAGUCGGAAGUACUGGAAACAUGGAUGCUCGGUCAUUUGCAGAAGCAGCUCAGGUCGACGGUAGCAAGCAAGUAUGACGUUUUCUUUUGUGCGGUUGAAAUCUUCAUGAUCCAUACAAUUAUGAAUUUCUUUUUGGCACAAUGUGACUCGGUUAACCUCUUCACGUCGGUUGUUUCCUCGUGGUGGUCUCACUCAAAGGUAGUUGUGUCUUCAAGUUAGCAUCAUUAAAUCGGUCGCCUUUAAGACAUUUUCAAAACAAUCAUGUUUUCAAAUUGAUCGUACCUUGAAGUACAAUGUCUUUAAGAAGGCCGCAUCAUCAAAGUAUAUCUUUAAGA